UAAUUUACAGUCGACUCUCGUUAUCUCGAAGUCAGCCGGACCAGAGAAAUAUUUCGAGAUACACAUAGUUCGACUCAAACGAAAACCGGAAGUUUGACAGAACAAGGGACACAACUCUUGCUUAGCUUGGUAAAGCUAAAAUAAAUCCGGGUGAAUACUGGAAGGGGAUCGAUAUUCUGGUAUCAGAUCGAUGUACUUGUAUGUCAAGGUCUUUCAUUAUUAUAAUAACAUUAUUUUUACUUUUCAAUUGUUUCCGUUACAACCUUUUUCUAUGGCUUUUAUCCGAGAGAGUAAUUUCCAAUCGAUAGUUCCAUUAUUCAGGUCGUUUAUAGUUGACAAAAUUGUUUAUUCUUGGAUACAAGAGACUUUAGAAAAUUUAGAUUCUCUUCAUUUUGUUUUAUCUCACUCUUUCUUUUCAAAAGAAAAUACAACAAGAUUAAAGACGCCGAUUGAGUAGUUUUUAGGUGAUCAUCAACGGAAGUCAUAAUCCUUACUUUAUACACAC
rnacentral:lncRNA from 1 species